rnacentral:rRNA from 1 species
UACGUAGGGGGCCAGCGUUGUCCGGAAUCAUUGGGCGUAAAGCGCGCGUAGGCGGCCAGAUAAGUCCGGUGUGAAAUCUCGAGGCUCAACCUCGAGACGUCGAUGGAAACCAUCUGGCUAGAGUCCGGAAGAGGAGAGUGGAAUUCCUGGUGUAGCGGUGAAGUGCGCAGAUAUCAGGAAGAACACCCGUGGCGAAGGCGGCUCUCUGGUACGUGACUGACGCUGAGACGCGAAAAGCGUGGGGAGCAAACAGG